rnacentral:rRNA from 1 species
CCCAGCUUGCUGGGUGGAUUAGUGGCGAACGGGUGAGUAACACGUGAGUAACCUGCCCCUGACUCCGGGAUAAGCGUUGGAAACGACGUCUAAUACUGGAUAUGAUCACCGGCCGCAUGGUCUGGUGGUGGAAAGAUUUUUUGGUUGGGGAUGGACUCGCGGCCUAUCAGCUUGUUGGUGAGGUAAUGGCUCACCAAGGCGACGACGGGUAGCCGGCCUGAGAGGGUGACCGGCCACACUGGGACUGAGACACGGCCCAGACUCCUACGGGAGGCAGCAGUGGGGAAUAUUGCACAAUGGGCGAAAGCCUGAUGCAGCAACGCCGCGUGAGGGAUGACGGCCUUCGGGUUGUAAACCUCUUUUAGUAGGGAAGAAGCGAAAGUGACGGUACCUGCAGAAAAAGCACCGGCUAACUACGUGCCAGCAGCCGCGGUAAUACGUAGGGUGCAAGCGUUGUCCGGAAUUAUUGGGCGUAAAGAGCUCGUAGGCGGUUUGUCGCGUCUGCUGUGAAAUCCCGAGGCUCAACCUCGGGCUUGCAGUGGGUACGGGCAGACUAGAGUGCGGUAGGGGAGAUUGGAAUUCCUGGUGUAGCGGUGGAAUGCGCAGAUAUCAGGAGGAACACCGAUGGCGAAGGCAGAUCUCUGGGCCGUUACUGACGCUGAGGAGCGAAAGCGUGGGGAGCGAACAGGAUUAGAUACCCUGGUAGUCCACGCCGUAAACGUUGGGCGCUAGAUGUAG